rnacentral:lncRNA from 1 species
CUCUGGUUGGAGGUCCCUCCUUGGUGGAGCUUUUUGCUGUGAACCUGGAAUCUUCUGAUACAGGCAUAUGGCCUGAGAGAUUCUUGGCAUGGAGUGGGUAACUCUGAGACCUCCUAAUCCAACAUUUGCCAGCUGCACGGCAGGGUGAUGCAAUUCUGGAGCAGCUUGCUGUUUUGCAGAGCGUAAAGAGGUGGGAGAUCCGCAGUCUAUUCACCUGUUUCUCACACGGAUGUCAUUUCAUACCCUUCAUCAUCUCCCCUGCCCGGUUCUGUUUUCUUCCCAGUUUUACAACAGCCUUUCUGAGAUGGGGAGAUCAGGAUUGCAGAGAACAUUCAAGAAGUGAAUACGCCGUGGGUUUACACAGCAGCACAGAGCAUUCUUCAGUGACUGUCGUGAGGAAGGAAACCCACCCUGGGAGUUCAGCUCUUCUGCUCUGCUCAGGGCAAUGCAAUGAUUAGCCAAGGGUAUUGCAUCUGCGUAUUUAUUAGCGUCAUGUUGACUGGAGGAAGAUUCAUGUGAUGAUUUAUAAGAUAGAUAUCUAUAAUACUAAGGGCUAUCAAACAUCAGGCUGUUGAGUAUGUGCUAUUAAACUGCAUUCCCUUCUGCCUUAUUAUCCUACCCAUUUAAAGCAGCAUGGCUGUGAU